rnacentral:rRNA from 1 species
CCUACGGGGGGCAGCAGUGAGGAAUAUUGGUCAAUGGGCGCUAGCCUGAACCAGCCAAGUAGCGUGAAGGAUGACUGCCCUAUGGGUUGUAAACUUCUUUUAUAUGGGAAUAAAGUGCAGUAUGUAUACUGCUUUGCAUGUACCUUAUGAAUAAGGAACGGCGAACUCCGUGCCAGCAGCCGCGGUAAUACGGAGGAUCCGAGCGUUAACCGGAUUUAUUGGGUUUAAAGGGAGCGUAGGCGGGUUGUUAAGUCAGUUGUGAAAGUUUGCGGCUCAACCUUAGAAUUGCAUUUGAUACUGGCAUCCUUGAGUACAGUAGAGGUAGGCAGAAUUCGAGGUGUAGCGGUGAAAUGCGUAGAUAUCACGAAGAACUCCGAUUGCGAAGGCAGCCUCCUGGACUGUAACUGACGCUGAUGCGCGAAAGUGUGGGUAGCAAACAGGAUUAGAUACCCGGGUAGUC